rnacentral:rRNA from 1 species
CCUACGGGGGGCUGCAGUGAGGAAUAUUGGUCAAUGGGCGCGAGCCUGAACCAGCCAAGUAGCGUGAAGGAUGACUGCCCUACGGGUUGUAAACUUCUUUUGUCGGGGAGCAAAAGACGCCACGUGUGGCGUUCCGAGAGUACCCGAAGAAAAAGCAUCGGCUAACUCCGUGCCAGCAGCCGCGGUAAUACGGAGGAUGCGAGCGUUAUCCGGAUUUAUUGGGUUUAAGGGGUGCGCAGGCGGAAGAUCAAGUCAGCGGUAAAAUUGAGAGGCUCAACCUCUUCGAGCCGUUGAAACUGGUUGUCUUGAGUGAGCGAGAAGUAUGCGGAAUGCGUGGUGUAGCGGUGAAAUGCAUAGAUAUCACGCAGAACUCUGAUUGCGAAGGCAGCAUACCGGCGCUCAACUGACGCUCAUGCACGAAAGUGUGGGUAUCGAACAGGAUUAGAUACCCGUGUAGUC